ACACAACUGCAGACAUUAGUUGCUUAACUCUCGCAACUCAGCGGGGACACAGGCAUCAUAGGAAAUGUGUUCCACCACAAUGGGGGAGUCUCUGGGCCUCCUCUUGGGACCCAACAGCUGUUCAUGCUCUAUUUUCUGACGGACUACCAGGCGGGCCUGCAACGGAGGUUUCUCCUCCCUGCGCUGCAUCCUGCUGGGAUUGGGCAUUCAUUUCCCUCAGCACAGUCACAAAUGUCCAUCUGACUCUGCUGGCAAAGGCCCUGUCCUACCAUGAGCUGAAGAGGCAGCAGCAUACGUGUUUGGAGUUUAGUAGGGACUGAGAAGCAGGGAAAAGAACUGCCUAACUAAAGGAGAGACAGGGUUUCACCGUGUUAACCAGGAUGGUCU